ensembl:lincRNA
AUGCCAUGGCACUCCCCAUAUGCCACAGCACCCCCCAUGCCACAGCACUCCCCUAUGCCGGGUCACUCCCCUAUGCCGGGGCACUCCCCCUAUGCCGGGUCACUCCCCUAUACCACAGCACUCCCCUAUGCCGGGUCACUCCCCUAUGCCGGGGCACUCCCCCUAUGCGAGGUCACUCCCCCUAUGCCACAGCACUCCCCCUAUGCCACAGCACUCCCCUAUGCCGGGGCCCUCACCUUAUGUGCACAGGACACCAGGGAGCCAGGGCCACCAGGACCUCUCAGACCAGCAGCAACUAACUGGCAGUUCCAUCUGCAGACAUGGGGUUCUGCAAUAGUGCAUGGGGAGCGUGUAUGUGUGCUGUGUGAUUGUGUGAGUGCAUGUGGAGUGUGUGUGUGUGCCGUGUGUGUUGUGUGGGUGCAUGUGGAGAGUGUGUGUGUGCUGUGUGGUUGUGUGAGUGCAUGUGGAGUGUGUGUGUGUGCCAUGUGUGUUUUGUGGGUGCAUGUGGAGCGUGUGUGUGUGCUGUGUGGUUGUGUGAGUGCAUGUGGAGUGUGUGUGUGUGCUGUGUGGUCGUGUGAGUGCAUGUGGAGUGUGUGUGUGCUGUGUGGUCGUGUGAGUGCAUGUGGACUGUGGGUGUGUGCCGUGUGUGGUUGUGUGAGUGCACGUGGAGUGUGUGUGUGCUGUGGGUACAGGAUACAUGAAUGCAUGCACGUUGUGUGCACGGCUGUGAUGUGUGUUCACGCUGUGGGUUUAGUGUGUGCAUGCUCUGAAUGGUGUAUGUGCAUGUACGUGUGUGCAUGUGGUGUGAGCACAUGCAUGUAGUGUCUGUGUGCAUGCAUGUGCUGUGUUUGCAUUUGGCGUGUGCACAUGCUGUGGAUGGCAUGGGCCUGGGGAGGAGGCAUGCAGGCAGGCAGAGCAAGCACAGACCGGUGGAGGGUGCGCUCUGGCAGCCUUCUAAUUGCUUUUUCCCCAGAACUGGCCUUGGCACCUCCUCCACUGGCCGCCCCACAUCCUGGGACCUGGAGCCCUGGCAGCAGAGGAAAGGCGAAGGUCCCACUGGCACCCAUCCAGAGGGUCAGGAUGGGACGGGGGCUUCAGAGGCACCCAGAUUCUGCUGAAGGUGCCAGGACCCUGAAGGCAGCACAGGCGAGGGGGCUGGGGACACGGUGGGUGAGGAGUUUCCACCAGCCCAGCUCAUAAUUCAUAGAUGUGAGUUAAAAGGCCCCCUCCCUCCACACCUUGGUGUUUACAAGAGCAAGCUCUUCCUGUGGGCCUGGAAGGGGCUGCUGGCCACACACAAAAGGAGAUAAAAAUCUCUGUCGGGAAGGGAGUGCCAAUUCCUGGAAAACAGGCCAAGCUCAGAGGUCAGCUACGGACCCUGGCCUCUGUCCACCCACCUCAGCCUCCCCUUUCUUCAUGGGUUGCAGUCCCAGAACCCCUCCUGCUCCAGGCAGUUCCAGGAAGAUGGAGGUGAGGGCCUAGGAGAGGGUGGAGCAGGGUAGGCAAGCUGGGCAAAGACCCCCUGACACUAGGGACCCUGUGUGCAGUGGGUGAGAAGAGGCCAGGGGACCAGCUUUUCCCAACAAAGGCUCUGAGCUCAACCAAAGGAGAAAAAGCAGUGACACACCAAAGAGCGGUGCAGGGAAGAAGGAAGUGCCUUCAGACAGCGGGAAGUGAGCGGGGAAGGAGGAAGUGCCUUCAGACGGCGGGAAGUGAGCGGGGGAAGGAGGAAGUGCCUUCAGACAGUGGGAAGUGAGUGUGCCAGGGUCCCGAGACAAGCUUGGAGUACCAGGACCCCCAUAAAUCCAGAUUGGCACCUUGUGCCUACCUGGGUUCCCUGUUCUGUUCCUUGGUCUAUGUGCCCGUUUUUAUGCGAGUACCAUGCUGUUUCGAUUACUGUGGCCUUGCAGUGUAUUUUGAAAUCAGGUAGUGUGAUGUUUCCAGCUUUUCGUUGGUUUGUUUGUUCUGUUUUGCUGAAGGCUGCUUUGGCCAUUUGAGGUCUUUUGUGGUUCUAUAUGAAUUUUAGGAUUUUUUUUCUAUUUUCUAUUUCCGUGAAGAAUGUCACUGGUAUUUUACAUAAGAAUGUCAUUGGUCAUCUUCUAUUUCUACUUCUUCUGUUUUCUAUUUCUGUGAAGAAUGUCAUUGGUAUUUUGAUGGGUAUUGAAUCUGCAGAUCACUUUAUGUGGUAUAGAGAUUUUAGCAAUAUCAUCUCUUCCACUCUGUGAACGUGGGUUAGCUUUCCAUUUACCUGUGUUCUCUUCAGUUUCUUUCAUGAGUGUUCCAGUUUUCAGUGUGCAGAUCUUUCAUCUUUUUGGUUAAAUGUAUUCCUAAGUAUUUUAAUUUUUGUAGCUAUUGUCAAUGGAAUUUUUAAAUUUCUUUUUUGGGUAGUUAUCUGUUAGUGUAUAGAAAUGCUACUGAUUUUUGGAUGUUGAUUUCAUUUCAUUUCAUUUUGUUUUUUAGAGACAGGGUCUCACUCUGUCACCCAGGUUGGAGUCAUGGCAGCCUUAGACUCCUGGACGAGAGUGGUCCUCCUGCCUCAGCCUCCCAAGCAGCUGGGACUACGGGCACAUGCCACCACGCCCAGCUAUGCAUGUUGAUUUUGUAGUCUACGACUUUACUGAGUGUGUUUAUUAGUUCUAACAGCUUUUUACUUGAGUCUUUCAGGUUUUUUACAUAUAAGAUCACGUUGUCUGGAAACAAUGAUAAUUCACCUUCUUCCUUCCUUUCUCUUGCCUAAUUCCUCCGGCGAGGACGUCCGGUACUGUGUUAAACAGAAACACUGAAAGUGGCUGUCCUCGUCUUGUACCAGAUCUUAGAGAAAAAUCUCAACUUUUCCCCAUUUGACAUGAUAUAUAUAUAUAUAUUACAGAAAACCGCCCCUCCCCUUGAUAUAAACUUAACUAUAGAUUUGUCAUAUGUGGCCUUGGUGAGGUCGAGGUACAUUCCUUCUACCCUUAAUUUGUUGAGAGUUUUAUGAUAAAGGGAUGUUGAAUUUUGUCAAGUGCCUUUUCUACGUCUAUUGAGAUAAUGAUGUGGUUUUUGUCCCUGAUCCUGCUGAGGAGAGGCAUCACGCUGAUGGAUUUGUGAAUGUUGAGCCUUCCUCGCUUCCCUGGCAUGAUUACCACUUGAUCCUGGCGAAUGAACUUUUUAAUGUGCCGUUGAUUUGGCUUGCUAAUGUCUGGCUGAGAAUUUUCGCCUCUGUCUCCAUCAAGAACACGGGCCUGUGGUGUUGUGGUCUAGUCUGGUAUUGGACAUGCCGGCCUCGUAGUAUGAGUUUGGAAGGGCUGUCUCCUUUUCCAUUUUUGGGAAAAGUUUGAAAACACUUGAUACUGUUUCUUCUUUAAAUCUUUGGUAGAAUUCAGCAGUGAAGCCACCGGGCCUUGGGCUUUUAUUUUUGAUGGGAGACUUUAGUAGUGACUCAAUCUCGUUACUCGUUAUUAAUCUGUUCAGAUUUUCUGUUUCUUCAUAACUUAAUCUUGGUUGGCUGCGUUUGUCCAGGAAUGCAUCCGUUUCUUCUCGGUUAUCGGACUCAGUGUGUAAUCGUCCGUGUAGUCUCUCUGAUUCUUUUCGUUUCUGUUUUGUCAAGUGUAAUGCCUCCUUUUUCAUCUCUGAUUUUUGUUUAUAGUUAGUCUACCUAAAGAUUUCUCAAUUUGUUUAUAUUUUUUAAAAACCAACUCUUGAUUUCACUGGUUUUUUGGUUUUUUAGACAGGGUCUCCCUCUGUCGCCCAGACUGGAGUGCAGUGGCAUGAUCACAGCUCACUGCAACCUUCACCUCCUGGGCUCAAGCAACCCUGCCUCAGCCUCCUGAAUAGCUGGGACUACAGGUGCAUGCCACCAUGCCCGGAUAAUUUUUGUAUUUUUUGG